rnacentral:rRNA from 1 species
GUUUUUCGUUCCAAGAUGAGUCCGCGUAAGAUUAGCUAGUUGGUGAGGUAAUGGCUCACCAAGGCGACGAUCUUUAACUGGUCUGAGAGGAUGAUCAGUCACACUGGAACUGAGACACGGUCCAGACUCCUACGGGAGGCAGCAGUAGGGAAUAUUGCACAAUGGGGGAAACCCUGAUGCAGCGACGCCGCGUGAGUGAUGAAGGCCUUCGGGUCGUAAAGCUCUGUCGCAGGGGAAUAACACAAUG